rnacentral:rRNA from 1 species
CCUACGGGCGGCAGCAGUAGGGAAUUUUCGGCAAUGGGGGGAACCCUGACCGAGCAACGCCGCGUGAACGAAGAAGUUAUUCGUAAUGUAAAGUUCUUUUAACAGGGAAGAAAGAGAAAUUUGACGAUACCUGAAGAAUAAGCUACGGCUAACUACGUGCCAGCAGCGGCGGUAAUGCGUAGGGAGUGAGCGUUAUCAGUAAUUAUUGGGCGUAAGGGGUGCGUAGAUGGCAUAGUAAGUCUUUGGUAAAAAUGCUGGGCUAAACCCAGUAGGGCAAAAGAUACUGCAAAGCUAGAGUAUGGCAGAGGCAAGUGGAACUACAGGUGUAGCGGUAAAAUGCGUAAAUAGAUGUAAGAACACCAGUGGCGAAGGCGGCUUGCUGGGUCGAUACUGACAUUGAGGCACGAAAGCGUGGGGAGCAAACAGGAUUAGAUACCCGGGUAGUC